AGAGUUUGAUUCUGGCUCAGGAUGAACGCUGGCGGCGUGCUUAACACAUGCAAGUCGAACGGAGUUAUUAGAAGCUUGCUUUGGAUAACUUAGUGGCGGACGGGUGAGUAACGCGUGGGUAACCUGCCUUAUACCGGGGGACAACAGUUGGAAACGACUGCUAAUACCGCAUAAGCGCACAGUUUCGCAUGAAACAGUGUGAAAAAACUCCGGUGGUAUAAGAUGGGCCCGCGUCUGAUUAGCCAGUUGGCGGUGUAACGGACCACCAAAGCGACGAUCAGUAGCCGGCCUGAGAGGGUGAACGGCCACAUUGGGACUGAGACACGGCCCAAACUCCUACGGGAGGCAGCAGUGGGGAAUAUUGCACAAUGGAGGAAACUCUGAUGCAGCGACGCCGCGUGAGUGAAGAAGUAUUUCGGUAUGUAAAGCUCUAUCAGCAGGAAAGAAAAUGACGGUACCUGACUAAGAAGCCCCGGCUAACUACGUGCCAGCCGCCGC
rnacentral:rRNA from 1 species